UACGUAGGUGGCGAGCGUUGUCCGGAAUUACUGGGUGUAAAGCGCGUGUAGGCGGGAGGCCAAGUCUGUGGUGAAAUCGCUCGGCUUAACUGGGCGGGGUCCAUGGAAACUGGUCACCUGGAGGUCGGUAGAGGCAAGUGGAAUUCCCGGUGUAGUGGUGAAAUGCGUAGAUAUCGGGGGGAAUACCAGUGGCGAAAGCGGCACCCUAGCGUUAGCCUGACGCUCAUGUGCGAAAGCGUGGGGAGCGAACGGG
rnacentral:rRNA from 1 species